rnacentral:rRNA from 1 species
CCUACGGGUGGCUGCAGUGAGGAAUAUUGGUCAAUGGACGAGAGUCUGAACCAGCCAAGUAGCGUGAAGGAUGACUGCCCUAUGGGUUGUAAACUUCUUUUAUAUGGGAAUAAAACGUUCCAAGUGUGGGAUAUUGUAUGUACCAUAAGAAUAAGGAUCGGCUAACUCCGUGCCAGCAGCCGCGGUAAUACGGAGGAGCCGAGCGGUAUCCGGAUGUAUUGGGUUUAGAGGGAGCUGAGGUGGGUUGUUAAGUCAGUUGUGAAAGUUUGCGGCUCAACCGUAAAAUUGCAGUUGAAACUGGCAGUCUUGAGUACAGUAGAGGUGGGCGGAAUUCGUGGUGUAGCGGUGAAAUGCUUAGAUAUCACGAAGAACUCCGAUUGCGAAGGCAGUUCACUGGACUGCAACUGACACUGAGGCUCGAAAGUGUGGGUAUCAAACAGGAUUAGAUACCCUAGUAGUC